rnacentral:rRNA from 1 species
ACGCUCGACACCUACGGAGGCAGCAGUGGGGAAUAUUGCACAAUGGGGGAAACCCUGAUGCAGCGACGCCGCGUGGAGGAAGAAGGUCUUCGGAUUGUAAACUCCUGUUGUUGGGGAAAAAGAGGAUGGUACCCAACAAGGAAGUGACGGCUAACUACGUGCCAACAGUCGCGGUAAUCUGAGCGGGCUGGCAAGGC